CUGUGUGCUGGGAGGUCAGCCUGAGAGUCUCAUCUACUGAAGACCACAGGAAUCUUUAUUGUGGAUCCUUUACAUGAGUUCUAAGAAGUGGCAAAUUUCUCUCCAGAAGAAAUUCAUAUGAAGAAAACAAAUUUCACCAGAUGAAACUGCUCCAUUUUGUGAUCUACACAAAUAAUUUUUUAAAUACCAAUAAAACCUCACCCAAUUUAUUAAAUUAACAGAAAUAUUCAGUUUCUAGAACCCUUUGGGGAAUCAUGAAAUGACCAUGAAUAAAUUAUCAGUGAACUCUGGCAGAGCUGGCAUUCCUGUGAUGCACAGCCCUCCUUCCCUCCCACCUCUCCUGGAGCCCAGAGGAGACAGAGACAGGAGCAGUGGACAGGGAGAGAACAGAGCCAUGGUCUGGGAUUGAGAAGAGAACUAAACAACUUUGCCCUACUGUGACCCUGGGCUCCUACUGUUCUUUGAAAGAGGUGGAAGGGAAGUCACCACUCGAAGUGGCCCUAUCCAAUUUGACACAGCUGGUGGAGUUGGCUCACUCCUUGGAAACCCCAUGGAGUGCUGGGCCCAGCGGUUCCCUGAGCCCAGGAGUGCAGAGGCAGGAGGACUGUUACCAGACACACUCCAGAGAAGAAGAGGGAGGUUUAAACCUUCUCAGCUGUAAGAUACAGUGACUAUGGGAUGCACACUUCUGCUUCUCUCCUGGGGGGGGGGGCGGGUAUGCUCUGCCUUCACCCUCAGAAACAGCCCUCCUUUUACAGGGCUGGAAGCUGCUGUGAAUGCCCUCCCUGUAACACCAGGCAGGCCAAUCCCUUAAGGCAUGGAUUACACAGAGCACAAGGUACUUGAAGUCUCAUCCCAAUGCAUGGUGUUCUGUGAGCUGGGAGGUCACACAGAUGGACCCACGGGAUAUCCCCUCCAUGUAUGUCCUUGAAGUGUGGGUGACGGACACUCAGACUGUAGGUGUAAGGGCCUAAAGCUGUGAAACUGUGGUUUUCUUUUUUAAAAAAUCAUAACAUUGGAUUUUGCUAACUUGAAAUGUAUAUUAGGAAUAAAUUCUUUUAAUUUUAAGGAAAUUAGAAUGUAUAUUUCAAGCACAAUUGGUAGUUCUCUACUGCAGCACCUUGCACACACAUCUCAGACUCAACCCACUGGCUUCUCCUCACCCCUGACACACAGGUCUCCAAAACACAUCCAUCCAAGAUCAUGCACAGCCUUCAGCCCAGCCUAUUACAGUUAGCAGUGAUCUUUCUCAAACUCUUGUCUAAUCAGGUUCUUCCUU